rnacentral:rRNA from 1 species
AUUGAACGCUGGCGGCAGGCCUAACACAUGCAAGUCGAGCGGAUGAAGGGAGCUUGCUCCUGGAUUCAGCGGCGGACGGGUGGGUAAUGCCUAGGAAUCUGCCUGGUAGUGGGGGAUAACGUCCGGAAACGGGCGCUAAUACCGCAUACGUCCUGAGGGAGAAAGUGGGGGAUCUUCGGACCUCACGCUAUCAGAUGAGCCUAGGUCGGAUUAGCUAGUUGGUGGGGUAAAGGCCUACCAAGGCGACGAUCCGUAACUGGUCUGAGAGGAUGAUCAGUCACACUGGGACUGAGACACGGUCCAGACUCCUACGGGAGGCAGCAGUGGGGAAUAUUGGACAAUGGGCGAAAGCCUGAUCCAGCCAUGCCGCGUGUGUGAAGAAGGUCUUCGGAUUGUAAAGCACUUUAAGUUGGGAGGAAGGGCAGUAAGUUAAUACCUUGCUGUUUUGACGUUACCAACAGAAUAAGCACCGGCUAACUUCGUG